AACGAACGCUGGCGGCAUGCCUAACACAUGCAAGUCGAACGAGAUCUUCGGGUCUAGUGGCGCACGGGUGCGUAACGCGUGGGAAUCUGCCCUUUGGUUCGGAAUAACAGUUGGAAACGACUGCUAAUACCGGAUGAUGACGAAAGUCCAAAGAUUUAUCGCCAGAGGAUGAGCCCGCGUAGGAUUAGCUGGUUGGUGUGGUAAAGGCGCACCAAGGCGACGAUCCUUAGCUGGUCUGAGAGGAUGAUCAGCCACGCUGGGACUGAGACACGGCCCAGACUCCUACGGGAGGCAGCAGUGGGGAAUAUUGGACAAUGGGCGAAAGCCUGAUCCAGCAAUGCCGCGUGAGUGAUGAAGGCCUUAGGGUUGUAAAGCUCUUUUACCCGGGAUGAUAAUGACAGUACCGGGAGAAUAAGCUCCGGCUAACUCCGUGCCAGCCGCCGCGGUAA
rnacentral:rRNA from 1 species